GUGACAGAGAGAGAGCUGGACUCUGAUCCUGAUCCUCCAAACUACAGGGUGAAACACCAGGAAGGUGUAUUUACCACUUCAUGAUCAGCACUGAGGGCCAUGACCUUUUUGUGAGGGCACCAAACCAGCUGACCUCGCUCGCUGCAGUCUUUUCUACCCACUACAACUUCAAUCUUCAGUCCCAAGAUGACCCUGCAUGCACACUGGAAUUCAUUCAAAGGCCAUUCAUGGGGAAAAAUCAGGUCAAAGUCUGGGGAAGGUCACCCAGAAAAAGAUGGCAUCAGUCAACCCUUGUGUCUCCAGUCUACUAAAGAAAUUAAGGACUUUGAGUGAGACUCUACAUAAGUCAGUUCACACACUCACUCACACACACUGUUAGUGUCUUAGCCACG